rnacentral:rRNA from 1 species
GACGAACGCUGGCGGCGUGCUUAACACAUGCAAGUCGAACGGAAAGGCCCUUCUUUUGUGGGGUGCUCGAGUGGCGAACGGGUGAGUAACACGUGAGUAACCUGCCCUUGACUUUGGGAUAACUUCAGGAAACUAGGGCUAAUACCGGAUAGGAGCUCCUGCUGCAUGGUGGGGGUUGGAAAGUUUCGGCGGUUGGGGAUGGACUCGCGGCUUAUCAGCUUGUUGGUGGGGUAGUGGCUUACCAAGGCUUUGACGGGUAGCCGGCCUGAGAGGGUGACCGGCCACAUUGGGACUGAGAUACGGCCCAGACUCCUACGGGAGGCAGCAGUGGGGAAUAUUGCACAAUGGGCGGAAGCCUGAUGCAGCAACGCCGCGUGCGGGAUGACGGCCUUCGGGUUGUAAACCGCUUUCGCCUGUGACGAAGCGUGAGUGACGGUAAUGGGUAAAGAAGCACCGGCUAACUACGUG